UACAGAGGUCCCAAGCGUUGUUCGGAUUCAUUGGGCGUAAAGGGUGCGUAGGCGGCGCGGUAAGUCGGGUGUGAAAUCUCGGAGCUUAACUCCGAAACUGCAUUCGAUACUGCCGUGCUUGAGGACUGGAGAGGAGACUGGAAUUUACGGUGUAGCGGUGAAAUGCGUAGAUAUCAGGAGGAACACCGGUGGCGAAGGCGGGUCUCUGGGCCGGAACUGACGCUGAGGAGCGAAAGCGUGGGGAGCGAACAGG
rnacentral:rRNA from 1 species